UACGUAGGGUGCGAGCGUUAAUCGGAAUUACUGGGCGUAAAGCGUGCGCAGGCGGUUCGUUGUGUCGGCGGUGAAAGCCCCGGGCUUAACCUGGGAAUGGCCGUUGAAACUGGCGAACUGGGAGUGUGGCAGAGGGGGGUGGAAUUCCGCGUGUAGCAGUGAAAUGCGUAGAGAUGCGGAGGAACACCAGUGGCGAAGGCGGCUCACUGGCCCGGUACUGACGCUGAGGCACGAAAGCGUGGGGAGCAAACAGG
rnacentral:rRNA from 1 species